rnacentral:lncRNA from 1 species
CUCCCAUUUAAGAUACCCCAUGUCACAAAAUCAUCUAGUAUCAUGCAGAAAAAAUGUCUAAAGAACCAAAACAGAUUCAAUGCAGUGACGGCAGAAAGUGUAUGGGCAUGAAGAUUCAAAGAAAAAGAUGCGGCCGUUGAAAGAUUUAUAUGCUCCUUUGCUCCAGGUACCUGAACCACUAAGGCCAGUUUCACCAAAUUCAUUUAGUCCAGAAGCACCAACACCAAGUUCAUCUGCACUCUUACCUCCUCCACCACUUCCAGAAUCAGAAGACCAAGUGUUUCCUCCUAAUGGAAAUCAAAAUAUUGAAGAUUUGUGGCAACCCUGUGACUACCAACUCUAUUGAAACCAUUUCUCCAAUAGCAUGAGCUCACUUCAGGUCUUUGUAUCACAUUUUCAUAAUUCUCACAAUAUUUCAAAUUUAUUAUUAUUAUUA